CCUACGGGUGGCAGCAGUGAGGAAUAUUGGUCAAUGGCCGGAAGGCUGAACCAGCCAUGCCGCGUGAAGGUCAGUGCCCUAUGGGCGUUAAACUUCUUUUGUGCGGGAGCAAUAAUGGUCACGUGUGGCCAGACGAGAGUACCGUACGAAUAAGCAUCGGCUAACUCCGUGCCAGCAGCCGCGGUAAUACGGGGGAUGCAAGCGUUAUCCGGAAUCAUUGGGCGUAAAGAGUUCGUAGGUGGCACGUUAAGUCUGGUGUUAAAGGCGGAAGCUCAACUUCCGUAGGGCACUGGAUACUGGCGAGCUUGAAUGCGGUAGAGGUAAAGGGAAUUCCUGGUGUAGCGGUGAAAUGCGUAGAUAUCAGGAGGAACAUCGGUGGCGUAAGCGCUUUACUGGGCCGUAAUUGACACUGAGGAACGAAAGCCGGGGUAGCAAAUGGGAUUAGAUACCCUAGUAGUC
rnacentral:rRNA from 1 species